GCGGCGAGCAGGGAGGGAGCUUUCGCGCGGCGGCGGCGGGCUGAGGCUCCCUGAGGCGGAGGAGCGGGGGGCGCCCGUGAGGCGAGCGCGCCCCUUCGGGUGGCCGCGGGUGUCGGGCUGCCGCCUGCUCGCUGAGGCCGUGGCUGCGCGGAGGCGGCGGUGCGGGGCUCGGGGCGGCGGGGGCUGGGGCCCAGCUCGGCCCCGCCGGGAGCGCCGGGCGGGAUCUGCGCGGCGCCGCGUGUGCCGCAGCGCGGGUCCGACCCCCCCUCGCCACGUGUCGCCUUUAGGGCCCCGGCUCCUGCCCAGCUGCUCGGGACGCAGCCCGGAGGAGCGGGGCCGCAGGCGGGCCCCGGAGCGCUGCUGAGUCCCGGGAGGCUUGAACCCUCUGCGCCAAAGCGGCCGAGGGAGAACUCGGGUCGGGCGCGAUGAGCGCAGCCCCAAGUCAUUCGCUUGAGAAGCGUGGCCGGGCAAGCGGGCGGAUGGGUAGAAGAAGGAGGCUCCCAGACGCCCUGAGGCCCCCCCCCCCCCUCCCCCAGCCAGGCACAGCCUGAGAAACGUUGACGGGUGACGGCACAGCUGCCAAACCGAUUUUUUCUCUCUCUUCGCCUGAGCCGCCUCUCGGAACUCUCUGUAGGCGCAAGAUGCGGCUGGUCUGGGAUAACUGCGCUGUGCGCAAUGCUUCAGGGGAGCGUUAACAUGAAACUGCAGGCUAAGGAGUCGCCUAGUAAAAUAAAAGGCUCGGGAAAAGCCUAAGAGAGCACUGAUGGGCCCUGGGAAGCCCCAGGGAUGCUACAGAAAAGAGCCUGGCUUUUUUCAGGCACCUCCUCAGAGCAGAGAAAUGGCUUACCCCGGCCUGCGGGAGAAUGGGUGCUAUUAAUAACAGCCUUUCCUUACCACGGGCAUUGCGAAAGCAGAAGGGACUAGAGAGGACGCGUAGCAGGUUAUGGACUCUCUGCAAAGUUUAAGCGAACAACAGUCCCCUCUUAAAGUAGAACCGGUUUUGUCCUAAGUAAUAGAUGAACGUGGCUGUGAGUAACGUGAAGAGAAGCGGUUGCGUCUGUCACCCUUGGGGCCUCGGGGAAGUAGCGUCUAAAACCUGGUACCCUCGUGGCCUCGUUAGCCUUCUCGGUCUGUCUGGCAGGGUAGUCCCCGGAAGGGGGCAUCUCCAAGAGAAGCGGCUAGACCCAGCGACCCAGCCGUUCGCUUUGGUCGCCGCCUGUGAGGCGAGCAUCCGAGCGCAACGGGAGUCCGGGAGCUGUAUCGAGAAGAGCUGGAACCAACGACAGCAAAUGCUGACGGAGAGGGAAGCCGGACGAGCGGCAUGUAGGGGAUUAAUACCUAAGGGACGGGGUUGAAACGAGGAGGCAGAAACGCAGCGGACCCUCGGUAUCCCCAGCAGCUGCCACGGUAGCGGCAGGUGUUCCGCCACGGGCAAGUCAAGCAGGGAACGACGACGGGCUGUCGUGAAGAACUACAGGCUGCCGCCCUCCGACCUCGGCAGGUGAUGCGACGAGAGCAGCCGGGAGAAUCCGAAUGCCGGUUUUGGCAGGUUCUCUGCCUGGUGCUGACGAGGAGCCUUUGACAGCAGGAAGGUUGGCAGCGUCCGUACCUGAACCGUGGAGUACACACCUGCUUCUAGUCUCAGUUGAAGGACGGGUCGCCUAGCUCAGCGUCUAACAAACCCCACAACCGGCGGCCCGGUCGCUAUGGCGCUGCUGUUGCUAGCAGAGCCACCAGGUCUGUGUGAAGCCUUAGGUGCCUGCUUGGAGCAGUAUUUUGGUCUGCUCACCUGGAAGAAGCAGCGAGGCCUAAAAUAAGACUUUGUUGCGGCUACAUGGGUAAGCUGCGACCCCACGUGUCUUUGCCUUGCUUUGCUGCCUCAUGUCGUAAGAGCGACUUGGGAAUAAAAACCGCUUACGGGGGUGCUUAAGGGAGGAUCUGCGUUCUGCCUG